rnacentral:lncRNA from 10 species
GUCAGCCUCUCCUACCUUGUCUCUCCGUGAUCCUGCCCUGCAUAUUCAGUGAGUGUCGAUCUGCCUCCAAUGUAGCUAUGUGCUUUCGGUCUCUAUGGGCCUGACUCUUUCCUCUGGCCUGCUUUGCAAAUCUAUACUUUUAUGCCUUUUCCUGUGCUUGUUCCAUCGUCACACUGAUAUAUAGAUGACCACCAUUCAGUCCUUCAGCAUCUUUGGACCCCCAACCCUGAACACUUCCGUAGGACACUUCAGAGCCAAAGAGGAAACGAAUCCCAUCUGUUCUGAGCCCCCAAGCACAGUUCAAGAGGACAGGCUGGGGAGUGGAGGAAGGGGCGGUGAAGAGAAAAAUAAGAAGACUGGAACAUCCAGCCACACACGGAGGGCAGGAAGCCACCUGAUGAGAGAGCCAGGGUGUGGCAGAAGUCGCCAAGGAAUCCUUCUGUUCCCGACACACGCCUACAGCACUCGCUCAAGAUGGAGCCUGCUGACUCUGUCUAAGGCCCUGUGGCCCUUGGCAUAGGUUUCAGGACAGCAGUCCUGUCAGGGCUGUGGACCUCACACCUCUAUGUAAUGUGAAGGGCACCCUCUGGAGUUGUGGGACUUGGCAGUAGUGUUACUGCACUGGCCUGCAAGUCCCCAUCCAUUACUGCCACCCAGCUCAGACACAGCUCACCCAUUCACAUACACAAAAAUGGACACAUUGAGAGGGAAACCCACAUUAAAGUAGGGAGAAGAUGGAGGGCCCUCUGACCUCCUCCCAUCAGGCACGUGUGCCUCCUCUACUCAGUGCCUGCAUCCACCUCUGUAUGGGUACCCAUCCUCUAUUCCCCUCCCACUCCAAUGGAUGCCAGGGAUGGAAGGACAGAUGGCUGUGAAACUUAUCUUCUUAUUUAGAUUAAAUUCCAGACUUUCCUAUUUUUAGAAAAACAAAUUCCUUUUGUAUUUCCAAGUGGUAAAAAUGGCCCGAGCUGUCAUCUAGGACAGUCAGCAGCCAACUCAAAGUUGUCUGCAGUGUCAUGAUUUGGAUAUUACCCUGGCGAGACUACUUCUAGUGUCAAGCGGGUGAUCAGUCUAGGUGCCAAAUUUUAAGAGGGUCAUUGACGUCCUGAGAGCUUCCAGAGGAGGGUGACCAGGACAAUGAAAGGUUCGAAAAACUGGGUCAUUGAAAAAAGUACUGAAAUAAGCUAGGGACUUUUUCUUUUUCUUUUUGGUCUAGAGAAUAUUUGAGCUAUAUUAAGAACAUGUUGAAAUAUUUGGAUGAAGAGUUACACCCUUAUUCUAUUUUUCCCAGAUGACAGAAUUUGAAUCAAUAGGUAGAAGUUACAGCGAAACAGAUUUCAGUUGAAUAUUUAGAAACUUUCUUAUAACUUAAUUCUGUAUGAUAUGGAAUAAGCUUCCCAUCACUGUGCCUAUGCAAGCCAAGGAUGAAAGACUGUCUGUCAGGGAUACUGUAGAUAAGAUUAUUGUACUAGAUAGGAACAUGGACUAGUCUAAAAUUACUGAGAAGCUUUAGAAAAAUGUGGCUUUCUGGGUAGCAGAGAUUCUGCAUUGGUAAGUCUGAGGCUUAGAAUUUGUAUUUCCAAAAAACCCCAUCAGCUAUAAAACUCUCAGAAGAAAACGUAGGGGAAAAGCUGCAUGGCGUUAGAUUUUGCAGUGAUUUCUUAGAUAUGACACUCAAAGCAUAGCCAACAAAAGAAAAAAACAGAUAAAAUGGAUUUCAUCUAAAUAAAAAGCUUUUGUGCAUCAAAGGAUACAUCUACAGAAUGAAAAGGAAACCCAAUACACAGAAUGAAAGAAAAUAUCUCCAAAUCAUACAUGUGAUAAAAGGUUCAUAUCUAGCAUAUAUAAAGAACUCUUAACACUCAAAAAGAAAUUAAACAACACAAUUUAAAAAUGGGCAAAGGACUUGAAUAGAUAUCUCUCCAAAGAAGAUGUACAAAUAGCUAAUAAGUACAUAAAGCUGCUCCAUAUUACUAAUCACUACAGAAAUCAAAACCACAAUGAGAUAACCACUUCGCCUCCAUCAGGAUGGGUUUUUUCUUUUUUUGAGUUGGAGUCUCGCUCUGUCGCCCAGGCUGGAGUGCAGUGGUGCAAUCUCGACUCUCUGCAACCUCCGCCUCCUGGGUUAAAGCAAUUCUCCUGUGUCAGCCUCCCGAAUAGCUGGUAUUACAGGCACGCACCACCACGCCAGCUAGUUUUUGUAGUUUUGGUAGAGAUGGGGUUUCACCCCACACCAGUUGGCCGGACUGGUCUCCAACUCCUGACCUCAAGUGAUCUACCCAACCCAGCCUCCCAAAGUGCUGGGAUUACAGGUGUGAGCCACCGCGCCUGGCCAGGAUGGCUACUAUAAAUACAAACAAAACAGAAAAUAGUAAAUGUUGGGGAGAAUUCGGAGAAAUUAGAACCCUCAUUCAUUGCUGGUAGAAAUAUCAAAUGGUGCAGCCAUUGUGGAAAACGGUAUGGUGGUUCCUCAAAACAAACAAACAAACAAACAAACAAAAAACACAUAGAAUUACCAUAUGAUACAGCAAUUCCAUUUCCAGGUAUAUACCCAAAAAGAACCGAAAGCAGGGACUUGAAUAAUAUUUGGACACUAAUUUUCAGAGCAACAUUCUUCACAAUAGCCAAAAGGUGGUAACAACCCAUGAACAGAUGAAUGGGUAAACAAAAUGUGGCGUAUACCUACAACAGAAUAGAGUUCAACCUGAAAAAAGAAUGAAAUUCUAACGCUACAACAUAAAUGCUCCCUGAUGACAUUAUGCUAAGUAAAUAAGCCAGUCAUUAAACAACAACAACAACAAAGACUGUAUGAUUCCACUUAUAUGGGUUACCUAGAGUAGUCAAAUUCAUAGAGACGAAAAGUAGAAUGGUGGCUCCCAGGAGCUGAAGGGAGGAGGAAAGGGUAGCUACUGUUUAAUGGGUACAGUUUCUCUUUGGGGAGAAGACAGAAUUCUGGAGAUGGACGUGAUGAUGGUUACACAGCAGUGUGAAUGUACUGAAUGCCACUAAACUGUACACUUUAAAAUGGUUAACAUAAAAUGGUAAAUUUUAUGUUAUAUAUAUAUAACCACAAUUUUUAAAAAUAAAUCCUUUUUAAAAAACAUGUAUGAUUAUUCUGGUAGCAGCAUCAGAGUCACUUUCUUCCUUCUAGUUUGCUGACUUCAGUUUGAAGAAUUUGCCUUCUUUGGUUUGCUGACUAAUGACCUGAAAGGGGCCUGGUCACUGGAGGGAGUAGGGAGAGCUGACUUGAGACUGAACAGGGGCUUGGGAAGAGCCGUCAAAGGGAUGAUCCCCCCGCAGAUAAACAGAGUGUGGAGAAAGCGCCAGAAUUACUGUCAUCUUUUAUGGCUCACUCGGAUAGCUUGGAGCCGAUUAUGUCACCCAGUGGGGAAAGAUCAGCUUUUCUGCUGGCCCAGUGCUGGGAGCUCUUGG